UACGUAGGGUGCUAGCGUUGUCCGGAUUUAUUGGGCGUAAAGAGCGUGUAGGCGGCCUGAAAGGUCAGCUGUGAAAACUCGAGGCUCAACCUCGAGACGUCGGUUGAAACCAUCUGGCUAGAGUCCGGAAGAGGAGUGUGGAAUUCCCGGUGUAGCGGUGAAAUGCGCAGAUAUCGGGAAGAACACCCGUGGCGAAGGCGGCACUCUGGGGCGGUACUGACGCUGAGACGCGAAAGCGUGGGGAGCGAACAGG
rnacentral:rRNA from 1 species